GUCCUCCUGUCCCGUCCCGUCCCGUCCCGCCUUGCUUAUUCCCAUUUUAUCCCAUCCUAACCCAUCUCAUCCCAAUCCCAUCCCGCCUCGCCCCGCCCAGCCCUGUCCCGUUCCGUCUCCUUCUGUCCUGUUUUGCUUCUUCCCAUCCCAUCCCAUCCCAUCCCAUCCCAUCCCACCCCACCCCACCCCACCCCACCCCACCCUACCCCACCCCACUCGCCCCAUCCCUCCGAACAACCCCCUCCUCUCUCGGCGCCCCCUCGGGCAGACCUUUUCCCCUUUCUCCCCGCGAAGCCGUGGGCUCAAAAUCGCUGUGGUCCCUCGUGCACAGCCGCGUGGGGCCGUGGCCUUUGCUCUGGCGGUGACACUCGUGACCGCGGCCAGCAGAGCCGGGGACAGCCCGCACGGGCGGUCACAUCGGAGGCAACCAGCCCAGGUCUGACUAUUAGAAAAACCGCAGGAGGAAAAGCUCCGUAUUCACAGAAGCUUUUGAAAGCGAUGGAUAAAAGAUGGAUAAAAUCAGUAUGCGGGACUUCUCAGUGAGAAGAGAGAAAAUUUCCUAAUGCUUCUUUUUGGGGACUGAUAAGGUGUAGGGCAGGGAGAGUUUGCUACCAGGAACUAGGCAGGGUUAUAAAAGAGAAAGUGGAAAAUCUAAUUUGUCCCUGUAUUCUCUGGUGUAACUGGCACCGCCGGGUGGCUGCGUGUGCCCAAACCUACCAGGGUCUUGCACCUUUCCUUUCAGUUCCCGGAAAAUCCUUGGGAUUUUACCUGUCCUGAAUCGUGAGCUAACUUAGUCCUAGCGCUGCGUUUAAUCUUAAUUAAAAUAUUUCGAUAAAAAGGAAGCUUUCAGGCUCCGCUCGAACCACUUCGUUCCGGCUGCAUUUACGGUCGCUUUUGGUUAGGUUUGGCCCCAGAAAGCGAUCCCGGUGCUUUAAGGUGGAAGAGGGACCUGUGGAUGCACUAAGCAAGGAGCCCAGGCGCACGCCGUUUGCUGGGCAUCUGCGAUUUCUGCUGGCCGUGUAUCUGUCUCCUGGUGGCUGUUAUGUCUCUAUUUCCUAGCGGAUCUGGUUCCUAACGGCACGACUUACACAGCUUCCCCGCAGCUCGCAGAUGCGGCGGUGUGUGUUUUACUGCGGCGGCUGAUAUUUUGCGCUGUUCGUCCUACUUCAGGAUCAAAGCCUUUCUAAAUAGAUUACUGGCCUGAAACCAAGCCACUGAAAUGGUAAUAUGGUCGAUCCUAAAAAAAAAAAAAAAAAAAAAAAGUGUAGGUAUUUUCUGGUGUUUUCCCAUCAAGUACCUGCCCAAUUUCUGUAUGGCACACGCCAGGAAUCAAUAGAAGUUAACAAGUCCUCAAAACAUUCCCCAUCUCUUUGUUUAAUCUCCUUUACAAUAAAGCCAAGGGAAGAGAAUUAAAAAUCUUUGAA
rnacentral:lncRNA from 1 species